rnacentral:antisense_RNA from 1 species
CUUUAUGGCGGCUGUACGCGGGAGACCUUCGGGUCUGCCGGCUCCCCGGUCCCGGUUCGCCAACCUGCGUACAGCUGCCACCUUU